rnacentral:rRNA from 1 species
GGACCAAGGAGUCGAACAUUUGUGCGAGUGUUUGGGUGUUAAACCCUCACGCGUAAUGAAAGUGAACGGAGGUGAGAGCCUUUAGGGGUGCAUCAUCGACCGAUCCUGAUGUCUUCGGAUGGAUUUGAGUAAGAGCAUAACUGUUCGGACCCGAAAGAUGGUGAACUAUGCGUGGAUAGGGUGAAGCCAGAGGAAACUCUGG